GACGGAGGGUGCAAGCGUUGUUCGGAAUUACUGGGCGUAAAGGGCGCGUAGGCGGUCUGUUAAGUUCGGUGUGAAAGCCCCCGGCUCACCUGGGGAACUGCGCCGGAAACCGACAGACUCGAGUACCGGAGAGGAGGGUGGAAUUCCUGGUGUAGCGGUGAAAUGCGUAGAUAUCAGGAGGAACACCGGUGGCGAAGGCGGCCCUCUGGACGGAUACUGACGCUGGAGGCGCGAAAAGCGUUGGGGAUCAAACAGG
rnacentral:rRNA from 1 species